rnacentral:lncRNA from 1 species
ACCGUGCAAGGUUUGGGAAUACACAGCUGAAUGAAACAAAACCGUGCCUUCAAGGAGCUUACAGUCUAUUGGGAAAACAGACCAGAAACAGAUAACUACAAAAUAAAGACACAAGUGCAAGGAGAGAGGUAAGCCCAGGACCCUAUGAAAGCACACUUUGUCACCGUUUAGAGUACAGUGGUGGGAGAAUAUGGGGUGCUUAGGUCAAGGAUUUCCUGAGGAAGUGGCACCUGGACUAAAUUAAAGAGUAGGAGUCAGCCGUGAGGUGCUAUGGAAGGAAUUGUGUAACCCCCGAAUUUGUAUGUAACCCCUAUGUGACAAUAUUUUGAUGUGGAGCCUUUGGGAGGUAAUUAGGUUUAGAUGAGAUCAUGAGGAUGGGGCUCUCAUGAUGAUAUUAGUGUCCUUACAAGAAGAGACACCAGAGAGCUUGCUGUCUCUCUGCCAGAUGAGGAAACAGCGAGAAGACAGCUGUCUGUAAGCCAGGAAGAGAGUUCCCACCAUCCUCUUGGCCAUGAUGGCGUCUUGGUCUUGAACUCCCAUUCUCCGGAACAGUGAGAAAAUAAAUGUCUGCCGUUUAAGCCACCGGGCCUAUGGCAUUUUGUUAUGGUAGCCUGAGCUAAAAUAGGAGGGGAACAAAGGUGUUGUUAAGAGGGCAGCGGCCAUAAGAAAUAGCAUAAAUUAAGCCAGGCAGGUGAGCAAAUGGUAGGUGCAGCGUAAGACAGGAAGUUGUGGGAAAAGACAUUGGAGAGAUACUUGGGGGCUGGACAUGGAGGGCAUUGUAUGCUACCUUAAGGAGUCUGAAAUGAGUUUUAAGCGGGUGAAUGGUGUGGGCAAAUUUGCACUUCAAUUGGAUCAGGCAUACUGCAGAGUAGAGGAUGAAUUUAAGGAGGAAAGAAAGAAGUCCAAGCUCUAUAAAGAUAUACUUGCUUUCCUUUCUUCUCUCUCUCUGUUUUGUUUUUUGUUUUGUUUUGUUUUGUUUUGUUUUGUUUUGUUUUGUUUUGUUUUGUGAGAGAGAGAGAGUUCGAAGGCAAGUGUGAGCUGCCGCAGAGGGAGAAGGAGAGAGAGAAUCUUGAACAGGCUGCACCCCCAGCUUGGAGCCCAAGGUGGGGCUGAGUCUCAUGACCAUGAGAUCAUGACCUGAGCCGAAAUCAAGAGUCAGACGCUUAACAGAUUAAGCCACUCAGGCGCCCCUAUUCUCUCAUCUUCUUUAAAAGACAUUCGGGGCGCCUGGGUGGCGCAGUCGGUUAAACGUCCGACUUCAGCCAGGUCACGAUCUCGCGGUCCGUGAGUUCGAGCCCCGCGUCAGGCUCUGGGGUGAUGGCUCGGAGCCUGGAGCCUGUUUCCGAUUCUGUGUCUCCCUCUCUCUCUGCCCCUCGCCCGUUCAUGCUCUGUCUCUCUCUGUCCCCAAAAUAAAUAAGCGUUGAAAAAAAAAUUUAAAAAAAAAAAAAAAAAAAGACAUUCAGGGCAUCUGGGUGGCUCAGGUUAAGCAUCUGACUUUGGCUCAGGCCAAGAUCUCACGGUCCGUGAGUUCGAGCCCCACGUCCGACUCUGUGCUGACCCCUCAGAGCCUGGAACCUGCUUCGGAUUCUGUGUCUCCCUCGCUCUCUGCCCCUUCCCCGCUCACACUCUGUCUCUUUCUCUCAAAAAUAAAUAAACAUUAAAAAAAAAAAAAGACAUGAAACAGAACAUCAGCCGCCUCCAUCUUGAGCUCAUCUAUACUUUCUGAUUGGUUAUGUUCUUCCCAGCUUUUGUCUUAACUCAGGCAAAGCAUCCUGUGAUGGGGACCAGAACUAGCCCCUCAAGCAGUAACAAGUGCCCCGAGCCAGCAAGACCCCACAUGGCUGACCUCAAGACAGCGAUCGACCUUACCUUUGCUGCCCACCUGCAUGUACCCCCCCCCCAACUUUUGCCCACAUUUUCCCUGUAUAAACCCAGAGGUUUUGGAGAUAGUCUUUGAAACACUAGUCCGCUGUCUUCCCAGCAUUGGCCACACUGAAAUACACUCCUUUCUUGUUUCACCACCGCUCAUCUCUCUGUCUUUGGACUUUGUCAGCAGCGAGUGACCGAACCUGGUCUGUUUGGGACCCCUGGGGCCAGAUACUUUUGCACCCCGGUGCCCUGGUCACAGACCUAAAAUUAUUUGAAGUCAUUGUAACCAUAUAUUAUUUCGUUUGUAAUGUAUAUGGGUGUAAUAUAUGUAAUAAGAAU